GUGGGGAAUAUUGGACAAUGGGCGAAAGCCUGAUCCAGCCAUGCCGCGUGAGUGAUGAAGGCCUUAGGGUUGUAAAGCUCUUUUGUCCGGGAAGAUAAUGACUGUACCGGAAGAAUAAGCCCCGGCUAACUUCGUGCCAGCAGCCGCGGUAAUACGAAGGGGGCUAGCGUUGCUCGGAAUCACUGGGCGUAAAGGGCGCGUAGGCGGACUUUUAAGUCGGAGGUGAAAGCCCAGGGCUCAACCCUGGAAUUGCCUUCGAUACUGGGAGUCUUGAGUUCGGAAGAGGUUGGUGGAACUGCGAGUGUAGAGGUGAAAUUCGUAGAUAUUCGCAAGAACACCGGUGGCGAAGGUGGCCAACUGGUCCGAAACUGACGCUGAGGCGCGAAAGCGUGGGGAGCAAACAGGAUUAGAUACCCUUGUAGUCC
rnacentral:rRNA from 1 species